UCCGCCACUGGUAUGUUAUAAAAAGGAGGGUCAUUUUUAUAUAAAACCUCUCAAAAAAGGGGGAGGCAGUGUCGUGUAUUUUUACUUUUAAUCCAUUUACUAGUAUGCAACAAUUACCACUUGUGGAUCAGGAUAAAAUAACAUGUGCUUCCUGUCAUCUAACAAAUUUUAAUUGGAGUGACAGUUUAAUUUGAAAUUAUGGUGUUUUUCUAAGUGGUGCAGAUGAUAAGCCCAACAUCAUUUUGAUGUGAUUUCUCGGGCUUAGUUGUAAGACUG
rnacentral:lncRNA from 1 species